rnacentral:rRNA from 1 species
AUUGAACGCUGGCGGCAGGCCUAACACAUGCAAGUCGAGCGGUAGAGAGAAGCUUGCUUCUCUUGAGAGCGGCGGACGGGUGAGUAAUGCCUAGGAAUCUGCCUGGUAGUGGGGGAUAACGUUCGGAAACGGACGCUAAUACCGCAUACGUCCUACGGGAGAAAGCAGGGGACCUUCGGGCCUUGCGCUAUCAGAUGAGCCUAGGUCGGAUUAGCUAGUUGGUGAGGUAAUGGCUCACCAAGGCGACGAUCCGUAACUGGUCUGAGAGGAUGAUCAGUCACACUGGAACUGAGACACGGUCCAGACUCCUACGGGAGGCAGCAGUGGGGAAUAUUGGACAAUGGGCGAAAGCCUGAUCCAGCCAUGCCGCGUGUGUGAAGAAGGUCUUCGGAUUGUAAAGCACUUUAAGUUGGGAGGAAGGGCAGUAAAUUAAUACUUUGCUGUUUUGACGUUACCGACAGAAUAAGCACCGGCUAACUCUGUGCCAGCAGCCGCGGUAAUACAGAAGGUGCAAGCGUUAAUCGGAAUUACUGGGCGUAAAGCGCGCGUAGGUGGUUUGUUAAGUUGGAUGUGAAAUCCCCGGGCUCAACCUGGGAACUGCAUCAAAACUGACUGACUAGAGUAUGGUAGAGGGAGGUGGAAUUUCCUGUGUAGCGGUGAAAUGCGUAGAUAUAGGAAGGAACACCAGUGGCGAAGGCGACCACCUGGACUAAUACUGACACUGAGGUGCGAAAGCGUGGGGAGCAAACAGGAUUAGAUACCCUGGUAGUCCACGCCGUAAACGAUGUCAACUAGCCGUUGGAAGCCUUGAGCUUUUAGUGGCGCAGCUAACGCAUUAAGUUGACCGCCUGGGGAGUACGGCCGCAAGGUUAAAACUCAAAUGAAUUGACGGGGGCCCGCACAAGCGAUGGAGCAUGUGGUUUAAUUCGAAGCAACGCGAAGAACCUUACCAGGCCUUGACAUCCAAUGAACUUUCUAGAGAUAGAUUGGUGCCUUCGGGAACAUUGAGACAGGUGCUGCAUGGCUGUCGUCAGCUCGUGCCGUGAGAUGUUGGGUUAAGUCCCGUAACGAGCGCAACCCUUGUCCUUAGUUACCAGCACGUCAUGGUGGGCACUCUAAGGAGACUGCCGGUGACAAACCGGAGGAAGGUGGGGAUGACGUCAAGUCAUCAUGGCCCUUACGGCCUGGGCUACACACGUGCUACAAUGGUCGGUACAGAGGGUUGCCAAGCCGCGAGGUGGAGCUAAUCCCACAAAACCGAUCGUAGUCCGGAUCGCAGUCUGCAACUCGACUGCGUGAAGUCGGAAUCGCUAGUAAUCGCGAAUCAGAAUGUCGCGGUGAAUACGUUCCCGGGCCU